rnacentral:sRNA from 1 species
CGUAUAGUAUAGUGUCGUGUCGUGUCGUCUCGUCUCGUCUCGUCUCGUCUGGUAUGGUAUGGUAUGGGGCCUGUAGCAUAGAGGAUUAGAGCACGUGGCUACGAACUACGGUGUUGGGGGUUCGAAUCCCUCCUCACCCAC